GGCCCAAACCUGAAAUAAGGUAGAUUAGUAAGGUCAGCUGAUCUUACUGUUCUACUGUACUUCGAAAUUGGGCCC
rfam:Haemonchus contortus, ISE/inbred ISE, WGS project CAVP01000000 data, contig: Hcontortus_10559